rnacentral:snRNA from 1 species
GUGCUCGUUUCGGCAGCACAUACAGUAAAAUCGGAACGACACAGAGAAGACGACCAUGGCCCCUGUGCGAGGAUGACACGCACAUUCGUGAAGCGUUCCAUAAAAAA